CUAGCAUUCACCAAGGAUGAACUGAAAGCAGGAUCUGUCUCACCAUACACUGAGAACUGUAGAAUAUGCAAGGCACAUGGAACUUAUUUUCUUACGUAUAAAAGCGUGUAUAUGCUCCUUAUACAUCUGUCCUAAUGCUUUCCAACAGUCCUCACUCUAAGCCUCACCAAGACCCAGAUGAGGAAACAAAGGCACAGAGGAGUUACACACAUAUUAUAAGAAAUAUUGAAAGAAGUCUUCUAGGCAGAAGGAAAAUGAAAUGAAAACCAGAUGAAUAUGAAUGAACUGUACCAGAAAUGAUAACUAUUAAAUACAUUGAUAAACUCAGAGCAGGAAGACAGCAAGGAAUAGCAGUGAAAAGCAUGGUGCUUAAUCCAACCCCUUACUCACUGCUGAGACCUGGAAAUGUGUUCAUCAGCUACAAAACAGGAGAGAUGAUAACUCAUUAUGUAUAUGUGAUGAUAAACAGAGACAAUAUAUUGAAGAGCUUAUAUGAGUGGCAGACACGGGACAUGCUUCCCUGUGGCUGGCCAGCGUGUCAUCUUCUCCAUGUGUCCAGAGAAAAGCUUUGCAAAUCAACCUCUCGAUGAAUGAUGACGGCACCAGUGAAAUCAGGGGAGGCAGAAAAUCAUGUUAGUUUGGUUUAUAAUGCAAGAAGUUACAGAACACAGAGUGCUCAAAACUAAGAAUGUGCUAGUUGUAUAACAGGGUCCUUCUUGGGACUCAGCCAGGAUUCAAACUAUAAAGGAAAAUCGGGUGAGCAGGUGGGAUAGUCAAGUGAUUCUAUUUGCAUGAAUAAUUUUGUGAGAUGAUACCUUCUUGUCCAGGAACAUUGAGCAGUGCUCGUGCUGGGUGGAUUGUGAUGUGGAAACCCUGGGAGAUGUCACGUCUGACAUCAACUUUCUCCCAGGUGACAGCUGCACCCUCUAAAGGCUUCUCAAAUGACAGAGCUCAAUGAAUAUAGAAGGGAAAAGUAUGAGGAUGACCUAUGAGCACAGGGUGGACAGUCUCUGCGGUGGGCAGGCAUUAGCAAAGGAGAGACCUUCUGUAUUAUGCAGAGUGGAAUUUUCCAGAGGCUACAUGAUGAGUGACGUCACGACAGAUUGAGUACAGAGCCAACUAUGAGAAUCCAGCUGCCUUCUAUUAAGGUGGUACCCUUUCUGUGGAUACCUUCAAGUUCCAGCACCAAAUAUGAAGGCGACUGCCAUCACCAGCUCCCACCCCUACAUGAGGUCAAAUCCCUGGAUGGCAUAUAACACACUAGAGCAAUUAAGAGGAUCUAACUAAAGGUGGGGAAGGAAAAAUGUGUGUACAGAGACAGGAAGUCAUGGACACAGUUAUAUUGAAAGAUACAAUG
rnacentral:lncRNA from 1 species